UACGUAGGGUGCAGGCGUUAAUCGGAAUUACUGGGCGUAAAGCGUGCGCAGGCGGUUUCUUAAGUCAGAUGUGAAAGCCCCGGGCUUAACCUGGGAACUGCGUUUGAAACCGGGAGACUUGAGUGUGGCAGAGGGGGGUGGAAUUCCACGUGUAGCAGUGAAAUGCGUAGAUAUGUGGAGGAACACCGAUGGCGAAGGCAGCCCCCUGGGUUAACACUGACGCUCAUGCACGAAAGCGUGGGGAGCAAACAGG
rnacentral:rRNA from 1 species